GAUGAACGCUAGCUACAGGCUUAACACAUGCAAGUCGAGGGGCAGCAUUAUCGAAGCUUGCUUUGAUAGAUGGCGACCGGCGCACGGGUGAGUAACGCGUAUCCAACCUUCCCCAUAGUCAGGAAUAGCCCGGCGAAAGUCGAAUUAAUGCCUGAUGUUUUCCACGGACGGCAUCUGAUGUGGAACAAAGAUUCAUCGCUAUGGGAUGGGGAUGCGUCUGAUUAGCUUGUUGGCGGGGUAACGGCCCACCAAGGCAACGAUCAGUAGGGGGUUCUGAGAGGAAGGUCCCCCCANAUUGGAACUGAGACACGGUCCAAAACUCCUACGGGAGGCAGCAGUUGAGGAAUAUUGGGUCCAAUGGGCGAAGCCUGAACCAGCCAAGUAGCGUGAGGGAUGACUGCCCUAUGGGUUGUAAAACCUCUUUUUAUAAGGGGAUAAAAAUACGGGACGUGUCCUGUUUUGCAUGUACC
rnacentral:rRNA from 1 species